AUAAAUUUGGCAGAUAAUUGUAUUAGAUUUAGAAUCUAAAUAUAAGAAUUUAAGUUUCUUAGUUUAUA
rnacentral:tRNA from 1 species